GUAAUUUCUUUUACCAUUUUUUUAAAAUCAAAAGUGAUGAAAAUGUCCAAAAAACCUUUAAGAGAAUUAGAAAUUACAGAUCCAACCAAGACAAUCCGAUCCAAAUCCAAUAACCCACGACUUGUGAGAAAGAUCAAAGAAUAUACGUAAACCUUUAAGUUGAAGAAAAUUGAAAAAUACAGAUCCACCGAAACUGAUGUUUUGGUAGCUUACGCUGUAGAAAUCGAAAUCGAAUCGGUGAUGAUGAAGAUGAAGCAGACAGUUUCUUCGAACUCAGAAGCACAGAGUUACAACGAAUCACCACAUUCUCCUCUUCGAUUUCUUCUCCGUUAUCAGAUGCUAGAGAUUUACCGGAGAGCCAUUACGUUUCUACUGAGAAAUCUUCGUUCAAAAUCGAGAAUCCCAAGUCAACGAUCGUACGAUGGUAACAAGUUCACGCAUUUUUUGCCUCUUUAUUCUCCGAUCUCGCCGCCUCCUCCUCAGUUUCCGCCGCCGCGACAUCAGAGGACUGCGCGAAUUCCGAUGAAUUCGUCUUCGGAUAAAGUCUCCGUCGUCCUUUGUAGUGCACAAUGUGGUCUUUGACAUAUGGAUCAAGAGAGAUAGUUGUCUUAUAACUGCUUCUGGUGAUCAAACUAUGGAUGUUUUGCGUUGUUGGAUUUAAUAUGUAAAAGUAGCUCUCACAAAGAGGAAUUUUGUAUCAACUCUAUUGGGAUGGUUAAAGGAUCUCAUCAAUCUCCUCUUUCAAAACGAAUCAGACGUCGCAAGCUGCUUCAUCAAGCAUUACCUUUGUGCUUUAUUUGAAGGAUGAGAUCACAAUUGCCACUGCUGGAGCACCAGAUAAGCCUUUGUGCUUUACUCUGACAUUGCUUUGAUCUAUAGGAUAAAAUGAACAAGUUUUGAUUUCUUGACUUCCAAAGUAAAAUGAACAAGUUUUGAGUUUUCAAGAAACCAGAUUGGUUAUUAUUUGUGUAUUUUGUCCUUGUUUAUUUGUAUAGGCACUUCCAUAUAUUCGUUGUAUUGGGGAAUCUUAGCCAAUAACGAAAGAAAAAGCUUACUUUGAAGCAACAACUUUGAGAAAGCAUGGAAAUUUAUCUACUUUGGAGCUAUAAUGAGCAGAAGAUUAAAUAGUUGCAGCAGAGACUGAAAGAUUGCGGAUUUGUUUGAUUGUAAACAAUAGAAUCAUAUGGUGAAAGUGAAGUUUUAUGUACAACUAGAUCACUUAGGUACAACUGGGACAAUUUGGUAUAACUUGAACUAUUUGGUGCAACUGCACUAUUUGAUUGUUCAGAUAGUUUUUUUUGUUUUUGGUGCAACUGACCUUUUGUUUGUGUAUGGUAAAGUGGAUCUUUUGUUUA